rnacentral:tRNA from 1 species
UCCUCAGUAGCUCAGUUGGUUAGAGCACCUGACUGUUAAUCAGGGAGUCGUAGGUUCAAAUCCUACCUGAGGAG